rnacentral:rRNA from 1 species
UAACCAUGCAAGUCGAACCGGCGGCAACCGAAGAGCUUGCUCUCUUGGGCGGCGAGUGGCGGACGGGUGAGUAAUAUAUCGGAACGUGCCCAGUAGCGGGGGAUAACUACUCGAAAGAGUGGCUAAUACCGCAAACGCCCUACGGGGGAAAGGGGGGGAUCGCAAGACCUCUCACUAUUGGAGCUGCCGAUAUCGGAUUAGCUAGUUGGUGGGGUAAAGGCUCACCAAGGCAACGAUCCGUAGCUGGUUUGAGAGGACGACCAGCCACACUGGGACUGAGACACGGCCCAGACUCCUACGGGAGGCAGCAGUGGGGAAUUUUGGACAAUGGGGGAAACCCUGAUCCAGCCAUCCCGCGUGUAUGAUGAAGGCCGUUCGGGUUAGUAAAGUACUUUUGGCAGAGAAGAAAAGGUAUCCCCUUAAUUACGGGAUACUGACUGACCGUAUCUGCAGAAUAAGCGACCGGCUAACUACGUGCCAGCAGCCGACGUUAAUACGUAGGGUGCAAGCGUUAAUCGGAAUUACUGGGCGUACAGCGUGUGUAGGUCGUUUAGGACAGAGAGAUGUGACAUCCCAGGGCUCAACCUUGGAACUGCAUUUUUAACUGCCGAGCUAGAGUAUGUCAGAGGGGGGUAGAAUUCCACGUGUAGCAGUGAAUUGCGUAGAUAUGUGGAGGAAUACCGAUGGCGAAGGCAGCCCCCUGGGAUAAUACUGACGCUCAGACACGAAAGCGUGGGGAAGCAAACAGGAUUAGAUACCCUGGUAGUCCACGCCCUAACACGAUGUCAACUAGCUGUUGGGGCCGUUAGGCCUUAGUAGCGCAGCUAACGCGUGAAGUUGACCGCCUGGGGGAGUACGGUCGCAAGAUUAAAACUCAAAGGGAAUUGACUGCGGACCCGCACAAGCGGUCGGAAUGAUGUGGAUUAGAUUCGAUGCAACGCGUAAAAACCUUACCUACCCCUGACACUGUCUUUGGUAAAGCCGCAAAGAGAUUUGGCCGUGUCUCGCAAGAGAACCGGAACACAGGUGCUGCCGGGUUGUCCCCAGCUCGUGUCGUGAGAUGUUGGGUUAAGUUCCCGCAACGAGCGCAACCCUUGUCAUUAGUUGCUACGCAAGAGCACUCUAAUGAGACUGCCGGUGACAAACCGGAGGAAGGUGGGGAUGACGUCAAGUCCUCAUGGCCCUUAUGGGUAGGGCUUCACACGUCAUACAAUGGUCGGGACAGAGGGUCGCCAACCCGCGAGGGGGAGCCAAUCUCAGAAACCCGAUCGUAGUCCGGAUCGCAGUCUGCAACUCGAUUGCGUGAAGUCGGAAUCGCUAGUAAUCGCGGAUCAGAAUGUCGCGGUGAAUACGUUCCCGGGUCUUGUACACACCGCCCGUCACACCAUGGGAGUGGGUUUCACCAGAAG